rnacentral:rRNA from 1 species
UACGGGGGGGGCAAGCGUUGUUCGGAAUUACUGGGCGUAAAGGGCUCGUAGGCGGCCAACUAAGUCGGACGUGAAAUCCCUCGGCUUAACCGGGGAACUGCGUCCGAUACUGGAUGGCUUGAGUGUGGGAGAGGGAUGCGGAAUUCCAGGUGUAGCGGUGAAAUGCGUAGAUAUCUGGAGGAACACCGGUGGCGAAGGCGGCAUCCUGGACCACGACUGACGCUGAGGAGCGAAAGCCAGGGGAGCAAACGGG